GGGGAAUAUUGGACAAUGGGCGCAAGCCUAAUCCAGCAAUGCCGCGUGGGUGAAGAAGGCCUUCGGGUUGUAAAGCCCUUUUGUACGGAAAGAAAUCCUGUCGGUUAAUACCCGUCGGGGAUGACGGUACCGUAAGAAUAAGCACCGGCUAACUUCGUGCCAGCAGCCGCGGUAAUACGAAGGGUGCAAGCGUUAAUCGGAAUUACUGGGCGUAAAGCGUGCGUAGGUGGUUGUUUAAGUCUGUCGUGAAAGCCCUGGGCUCAACCUGGGAAUGGCGAUGGAUACUGGGCGACUGGAGUGCGGUAGAGGAUGGCGGAAUUCCCGGUGUAGCGGUGAAAUGCGUAGAGAUCGGGAGGAACAUCCGUGGCGAAGGCGGCCAUCUGGACCAGCACUGACACUGAGGCACGAAAGCGUGGGGAGCAAAC
rnacentral:rRNA from 1 species